rnacentral:rRNA from 1 species
UACGAGAGCCUCGAGCGUUUAUCCGGAAUUAUUGGGCGUAAAGGGUGCGUAGGUUGUUCUGUUAGUCUUUUGUUAAAACCCGGGGCUUAACCUCGGGAUUGCGGAAGAAACGGCAGAACUUGAAAGUGCGAGAGGUGUACGGAACUCAUGGUGUAGGGGUGAAAUCCGUUGAUAUCAUGGGGAACACCAAAAGCGAAAGCAGUACACUGGCGCAUAUUUGACACUGAAGCACGAAAGCGUGGGUAGCGAAUGGG